rnacentral:rRNA from 1 species
ACGAACGCUGGCGGCGUGCCUAAUACAUGCAAGUCGAGCGGAACACUUGGAGCUUGCUCCAAGCGUUUAGCGGCGGACGGGUGAGUAACACGUGGGCAACCUGCCCUGCAGAUCGGGAUAACUCCGGGAAACCGGUGCUAAUACCGAAUAGUUUUUUGCCCCUCCUGGGGCGAAACGGAAAGACGGUUUCGGCUGUCACUGCAGGAUGGGCCCGCGGCGCAUUAGCUAGUUGGUGGGGUAAUGGCCCACCAAGGCGACGAUGCGUAGCCGACCUGAGAGGGUGAUCGGCCACACUGGGACUGAGACACGGCCCAGACUCCUACGGGAGGCAGCAGUAGGGAAUCUUCCGCAAUGGACGCAAGUCUGACGGAGCAACGCCGCGUGAGUGACGAAGGUUUUCGGAUCGUAAAACUCUGUUGUGAGGGAAGAACAAGCAUCAUUUAACUGAUGGUGCCUUGACGGUACCUCACCAGAAAGCCACGGCUAACUACGUGCC